rnacentral:rRNA from 1 species
UACGUAGGGGGCAAGCGUUGUCCGGAAUUAUUGGGCGUAAAGAGCUCGUAGGCGGUCUGUCACGUCGGCUGUGAAAACCCUAGGCUCAACCUCGGGCCUGCAGUCGAUACGGGCAAACUAGAGUACUGCAGGGGAGACUGGAAUUCCUGGUGUAGCGGUGAAAUGCGCAGAUAUCAGGAGGAACACCGGUGGCGAAGGCGGGUCGCUGGAACGCAACUGACGCUGAGACGCGAAAGCGUGGGGAGCAAACAGG